UGACGGACAGUGAAAGGAAGCGUUCCAUU
rnacentral:piRNA from 1 species